rnacentral:other from 1 species
AACAGGCUGCGCUGUUCGUACUUAUAAUAAAGUUUUAACCUUUAAGCUGUAAUAGGGAGUUUUACAUCGAAACAGAAAUGUCAUGCCUCCUUAGAAGAGGACGACAGGAUGGUUUUUGCGAACACCCACUUUGAGGAGUGGUGGUUUAAAACUUUCUUACUAAUUAUACGGCAAUUGCGGCUUGCAA